rnacentral:rRNA from 1 species
CGCCUCUUGCAAUACACUAAAUAUAAGAGGUCCAGCCUGCCCAGUGACUACGGGUUCAACGGCCGCGGUAUUCUGACCGUGCAAAGGUAGCGCAAUCACUUGUCUCUUAAAUAGAGACCUGUAUGAAUGGCUAGACGAGGGCUUAACUGUCUCCCCCUUCCAGUCAGUGAAAUUGAUCUAUCCGUGCAGAAGCGGGUAUAAAUUUACAAGACGAGAAGACCCUUUGGAGCUUAAGGUACAAAAUUCAACCACGUCAAACGACUCCAUAAGAAGCAAAAACUUAGUGGCACAUGGACCUUUACCUUCGGUUGGGGCGACCAUGGAGGAAAAACGAGCCUCCCAGUGGACCGGGCCAUAACCCCUAAAGCCAAAAGAGACAUCUUUAGGCCGCAGAAUAUCUGACCAACAAUGAUCCGGCCAACAAAGCCGAUCAACGAACCAAGUUACCCUAGGGAUAACAGCGCAAUCCUCUCCCAGAGUCCAUAUCUACGAGGGGGUUUACGACCUCGAUGUUGGAUCAGGACAUCCUAAUGGUGCAGCCGCUAUUAAGGGUUCGUUUGUUCAACGAUUAAAGUCCU